rnacentral:rRNA from 1 species
CAGUCGCCGCGGGAAUACGUAGGGUGCGAGCGUUAAUCGGAAUUACUGGGCGUAAAGCGUGCGCAGGCGGUGAUGUAAGACAGAUGUGAAAUCCCCGGGCUCAACCUGGGAACUGCAUUAGUGACUGCAUCGCUGGAGUGCGGCAGAGGGGGAUGGAAUUCCGCGUGUAGCAGUGAAAUGCGUAGAUAUGCGGAGGAACACCGAUGGCGAAGGCAAUCCCCUGGGCCUGCACUGACGCUCAUGCACGAAAGCGUGGGGAGCAAACAGGAUUAGAUACCCCUGUAGUCCCUGUCUCUUAUAC